rnacentral:rRNA from 1 species
GACGAACGCUGGCGGCGUGCUUAACACAUGCAAGUCGAACGGAAAGGCCCUGCUUUUGUGGGGUGCUCGAGUGGCGAAAGGGUGAGUAACACGUGAGUAACCUGCCCUUGACUUUGGGAUAACUUCAGGAAACUGGGGCUAAUACCGGAUAGGAGCUCCUGCUGCACGGUGGGGGUUGGAAAGUUUCGGCGGUUGGGGAUGGACUCGCGGCUUAUCAGCUUGUUGGUGGGGUAGUGGCUUACCAAGGCUUUGACGGGUAGCCGGCCUGAGAGGGUGACCGGCCACAGUGGGACUGAGAUACGGCCCAGACUCCUACGGGAGGCAGCAGUGGGGAAUAUUGCACAAUGGGCGGAAGCCUGAUGCAGCAACGCCGCGUGCGGGAUGACGGCCUUCGGGUUGUAAACCGCUUUCGCCUGUGACGAAGCGUGAGUGACGGUAAUGGGUAAAGAAGCACCGGCUAACUACGUG